GAAAUGAUCAUCUUGCCUGAGAUCCCGCUUGGAAGAAGAAUGCCUCCGUGAAGCAGACGAACCGACGUAGUCGAACGGGUCCUCACAAUCCGGCAAGCGUGCGGAGCUCUAUCGAGACGAAGCAAACCGGAAACACAAAUCAUCACACGGAAUUCACCACACGAUGCACAACACAAAUGAUGCAUGAGCAGCUGGAUACAUGCAAGUCACGACAUGACAAUUCACACAAUCAAACACUACACAUGAAGUGAAGUUCAAUAUGCAACGAGUUGCAUAUCGACGAAACUCCACGUUUAAUUAUUUAGUUCACUCCCGAUUAUUAACACGACAAUAUUAAAAUGUUGUUAACAUGGUAAGGGGUGAAGCAAAAAAUAUAACUAUCUAUCUAUGCAUUUUAAAUGAGGCCGGAAACAACUUAUAGCAUCUCCGAAAUGACCCCACGCGUUAAAUUCUAAUUCUGUCCAGAUUUGUCCUAAUCACAUUUUAAGUUUGUUAAGAAGCAAAACAAAGUGGGUCACGUGAUUCUACUCGUCGUUCUGGUCCAUUUACAUAUAUGGCCCAUCUCCAACGGAGCUACGAGCAAUUAGUUAUGACCUAAACCGUUUUCAACACGUCGACACGCAAACCGAAGCAAACAACACACUAAACAGUUCUAAUUAUGCAUGAGAGUUGGAAAUUGCUAAUCUACACGAAAUUCUAGUCAAGUUACAUAUUUAAUUCACUCUGAUCCGAUGCAUGGUUGAAACGUUAUGGGGGUGGUGCUGCACCUGUUGGACACGGGAGGGAAAUAGAGAGUUGAGAUAGAGGGAGGAGACAAAGGAAAGGAGAGAGGUGACGGGGCGGGGCUGGCCUGCGCGGCUUCGAUGGGAAACGACCAGGCGUCUCCGUCCUCCUGCGUGCGUGCACUGCAACAAACGAGAACAUGGCGGAGGCGCAAAGCAACGGGUCUCCAGCAAUGCGAGGAAGAGGAGGGAGCCAGAUCCGCGAUGGCACGUGUAGGAUCCAUCUGUUCCCAACGGUUUGGGAGAGUCCCCAUGCCACGACGGCGAGCUCCUUCGGCGGCCAUGGAGGUCCUG
rnacentral:lncRNA from 1 species